CGCAUCUGUGCAUGCAGCAUAUCAAUAAGCGGAGGAAAAGGAGUAUACCUACGCUUAGGAUGUUGACGAGACUGUCGAUCUCAUCUAUACAUGACUCUGUGCAUAUCAAUAAGCGGAGGAAAAGAAACUAACAAGGAUUCCCCUAGUAACGGCGAGUGAAGCGGGAAGAGCUCAAAUUUGAAAUCUUAAAGGGUUUCCCUUUACGAAUUGUAGUUUAAAGAAGUGUUUUCUGUUGAGGUUUUGGUAAAAGUUCUUUGGAAUAGGACAUCAUAGAGGGUGAGAAUCCCGUAUUUGACCUUUACUUUCAACUUUGUGAUACACUUUCAAAGAGUCGGAUUGUUUGGGAAUGCAGUCCAAAAUGGGUGGUAAAUUUCAUCUAAAGCUAAAUAUUGGCGAGAGACCGAUAGCGAACAAGUACCGUGAGGGAAAGAUGAAAAGAACUUUGAAAAGAGAGUUAAACAGUACGUGAAAUUGUCAAAAGGGAAGCGUUUGACACCAGUGUUGUUUUUCUGAAAAUCAAUUAAAGAACUGUUUAUGCUAAGCUUGUUUAGACUUUAUCAGCUAACUGUUUAGUUUUGAGCUUUUCUUUAAUGCGACUUUUCAGUUAACAAGUCAACAUCAAUUUCUUUUGCUGUAAAAAAGCUCGAGGAAGGUGGCUUGAGACUCGUCUUAAGUGUUUAUAGCCUCUUGCCUAUGCAGUCGGAGAGAUUGAGGUCUGCAGCGUAGAUCCUUCGGGGCUAAAUGCAUUUGUGCUAAGUUAUAGCAUUUUAUAGACAACUUGUUGACUAUGAUUUGUCUUGUAGCUUACUCGCUUAUGUUAUUUUACCUACGCUUAGGAUGUUGAGCGCAUGUCUCUCUCU
rnacentral:rRNA from 1 species